GAUGAAGGGACUACGCUUAAAGAGAAACCUUCAGUCCCGGAAUCCUCAUCACAACCAAUGGAUGAGCCACCUUCUUCCCAGGGUGUCAACCCCCCAAACGUCGAACCAAAAGGUAAUACAUUUUUUGAUGUUUUACCUUUGCUUGUGCUAUUGGUUUUUGACUUGUUGCUUUUUGAGUUCUGCAGAUGCUCCCAUGGGUUUGCCCGUUGUGGCAAAG
rnacentral:lncRNA from 1 species